UAAGUAUGAAUAUUUAUUAUAAAUUAUCACAUUUACAAGCACAACCAUGUUCUGAAUAAAUACUUGAGAGCAGGGCUAUGGGGUCAGGUCACAUCUUUCAUGAAUUCAAACCAGACUGACUUCAAGGAAAGAUUACCUGCAGACAUCGUCAACUAGUUAAGUUCUUUCCUCAUGGCUCCCAAACUCCUACCACUUUGAACAUCCCCUAUGACACUACCCACAUCCCCCUCUCAGCGUCACUUGGGAAUGGUGGGAGGGGGAAGGCCUUGGGGUCCCUUCCGUCACCUUGGGGUGACCCCCAACCCUCUGGGUGUUGGUUGAUCCUUGUCCAGUGCACCGCCAUCUUGGCCUGACACUGCGGUGUUGGAUGUUGACUGCACACUGGGUCUGGAGCUUCCCCAUGGUUGGAUUCCACUGAAAGAGGCACUUCCUAGGAUAUCAGCAAAUGGGAUAGCCUUGAACCUCAUGGUUUGGGGCUUAGCUGGUUGGGAGGUGGUGUCGAUCGAAGGCGAAAUACUAUUUUGGCUCUUCACGUGCGUCACCUUGACACGUUUGCCCUUUACAACGAUGCUGGUGGGUGUACGAUGCUCUGCAAGUUCAGUGGGGCUUAGUUCUGGUUGAACUUGGACUCUGGGAGGGCUUGGGUGGACACUGGGGGCAGAGGUGGGCUGGAUUUCAGCAGGGGCAGAUACAUGGCUGCCUGAGGGCCUAGUUUCACCUGGGAGCUUUAUGCCCAGAACACCUUCAUUCUGUUUGGACCUGGAACCUUUGGGCCUUCUGUAAAUUACUGACUCAAACUUGUUGAAUCUAACUUCAGGCAUGAAAGGGGCAGAGCUUGUUGGACCAGGUUUAGCUUCUCCUGCAGUCAAACGGUCAUGGAAAACAUUGUUGCCGGGCAGACUAAAGGUUGGCUGAACAUGUUUUAGACUCUCACUCCGGGGAGAUUGUAGUACGGUUGGUUGGGAUCCCUUGAAAACAUGGCCGAUUUUAGCCUUGUUAUCCUCGCUAGGUGUAUAUCUACGAAACCAAGGCAUACCGGCUCUCGUGGUAGAGCCAGGCAUGUCAGUGGUAGUAGUCUGCACUUCUGAAGACUGGACAUUGCUGGAGGCAUGGAGGCUGUUAGAAACUAGGGCAUCUUCUAUGGACAUAAGUUGGACUUCUCGUGGACCUGAUUUGAAUGUCCUUGGGGCUAGAGUAUCGCUUGGGGCAGAGGAAGUUGUAGUGGAAGCUACUCGAAUUCUAGGGGCAAAGCUAUACUUUCUGUAUACAUCUGGAUACCCACUGACAGAACUCAUUCUCAUGCCCCUAGGUAUACCAUAACUAUGUAUCCAGCUAGUACCCUGACUCUUUGCAGUGUUUGUGUUGAUUGAAGGUCUGAUAGCAACAGAGGGUAUGUCAUUGUCACUCACGAUGGGAGCCAAUGUUUUCUUGGGAUCUUGAUAUUGGAACCCUCUGAGUGUAUUGACAUUCAUGGAUCUUCCAGGUUUGUAGUCACCUGUGGCUAACCCAUACUGAUAACUGGAUGAGCUUCUUAGCCCAGGUUUCUUCCAAGGGACAUAGCUACUCUUGGUUUUCAAAGAGGGGUCAGGGGCAGUUUCUCUCUCUGCAGGCUCAGAGGGACUUUGGGUGGGUUGAGUUGCAGUGGGGGCUAUUAUGUUCCAGAAAGAGCCAAAUCUAAAAGGAGGUUGAAUUCUGCUGAAAGCACUUUUAGCCUGAGUAUUAGCCAUUUCACCAGGGAAAUAGCUACUAGGGCUCUCUCUACUUUGAGAAAAGUUAACACUGUGAUGGAAGGGUUUGUUGAUACUAGAAGCACGUUGGGCUUCACUGGUAGCAUCUACUUUAGAAGAACCGGAUUGGCUCAGAGUUGGUGGGUGCACUUGUUGUCCAUUGGCAGACUUAAAAGCUGUAGGGUACAACUGAGAGCCUAUGUAGCCAUACCCCCUUUGGACAUGUGUGGAUCUUCCAGAUCCAUGAACACUGGAGUUUCCUUCACUUUGGUUAGCAGAGGCAGCACCAAGUCUGCUAAUGGUCUUCACUCCUUCACUAGGGCCCUUGUGAGUGGUUUCAGAGGUGCUGGAAGUGGGUUGGGAUUCCCUGAAGAGAGAAUGAAACGUUCUGUAUUUGGAUUGCUCAUUCUUGCUCACAGGGUUUUCAGCCAGUUUGGCUGGGAUGGGGUUGCGUUCAACAACAGGAGAGCCAAAUAUGUCCCUGGCAGGUUGCAAACUACUGGUGGUAACAUGGCUCCUUUGGAUCAUAGGGUUUGAGACUGAAUGAUAGGUAACAGAGGCACCCCAGGUUCUGGGGACAAUUGGGCUACCUAGGCCACUAGAAGGGUAGGUACGGAAAUGGACAGUCUUACUGGGCACUGAGCUGCUUGAAGAUCUGUUAGAUUGACUGUUGGGAGGCUGAGACUCCUCACCAUCAGGGGAACCUUCUCUCCCAGUUUGGACUCCCGGUCUCAGCCUAAAGACCAUCUGAGCCUGGUCAGAUUGGACACUACUGGGGACCGGUUGGCUUGGGCUGAGACUAUGGCUCUGGCUAAAUAUGUAAGGGUUGUAGAAAGUCCUCCAUUUUCUUGGGCCCUGUGUACCGAGAGAACUUCUCUGUUCGUGUACUGCUCUCCUGCCUACAGGGAAAUAAGAGUGCAAUUCAGUAUUAUUCAUACAUUUCAUGUCUAAAUACACUGAACAAAAAUAUAAGAUGCAACAUGUAAAGUGUUGUCCCCAUGUCCUGAAAUAACAGAUCCCAGAAACGUCAAACACAGCUUAUUUCUCAAAUUUGUUCACAUUCCUGUAAAUUAGCAUUUCUCCUUUGCCAAGAUAAUCCAUCCACCAGACAGGUGGGCAUAUCAAGAAGCUGAUUAAACAGCAUGAUCAUUAUACAGGUGCACCUUGUGCUGGGGACAAUAAGACAUCUGUGGCAUUGUGUUGGUGUGACAAAACUGCACAUUUUAGAGUGGCCUUGUGUUUUUAGGGAGCGUGCAAUUGGCAUACUGACUGCAUGUUACCAGAGGAAGGAAUGUUAAUUUCUCUACCAUAAGCCACCGCCGUUUUAGAGAAUUUGACAGUACGUCCAACCGGCAUAACAACCGCAGACCACGUGUAACCAUGCCAGCCUAGGCCUCCACAUCCGGCUUCGUCACCUGCGGGGGUCGUCGGAGACCAGCCACACGGACAGCUGAUGAAACUGGGUUUGCACAAAAAAUUAAAAAUAAAGAAUCUCAGGGAAGCGCAUCUGCAUGCUCGUCGUCACCGGCGUCUGGGCCUGACUGAAGUCAGUUACGAUGCCGAACUGCAGUGGCAAAAUGCUCACCGUCGAUGGCCACUGGAGAAGUGUGCUCUUCACGGAUGGAUGCCGGUUUCAACUGUGCCGGGCAGAAGGCGUGUAUGGUGUUGUGUGGGCGAGCAGUUUGUCAAUGUGAACAGAGUGCCCCAUAGUGGCAGUUGGGUUAUGUAUGGGCAGACAUACGCUACGGACACAAUUGCAUUUUAAAAAUCAGUGGCAAUUUGAAUGCACAGAGAUACCAUGAGAUCCUGAGGCCCAUUGUCGUACCAUUGAUCUGCCGCCAUCACCAUGUUUCAGCAUGAUAAUGCACAGCCCCAUGUCGCAAGGAUCUGUACACAAAGUGUCCCAGUUCUUCCAUGGCCUGCAUACUCAGACAUGUCACCCAUUGAGCAUGUUUGGGAUGCUCUGGUUCGACAUGUACAACAGCAUGUUCCAGUUACUGACAAUAUCCAGCAUUAUCACACAGCCAUUGUGGAAUGUUGUCCCCCUCCUCUUCAAUCAGCCUGAUAAAUUCUAUGCGAAGGAGCUGUUGUGCUGCAUGAGGCAAAUGGUGCUCACACCAGAUAUUGACUGGUUUUCUGAGCCAUGCCCCUAACCUUUUAAAAAAGGUAUGUAUUCCCAGUCAUGUGAAAUCCAUAGACUAGGGCCUAGUGAAUUUUACAUAUUUCCUUAUAUGAACUGUAACUCAGUAAAAUAGUUGGAGCGUGAACUAAAACCUCACAUCAAUUGCGUCGCUGAAUUAAAUGGACAUGUUGGUAGUGCUCAGAGUUUUCUAGUCAGAUUAUUUGGACAGAGAAAAAAACAUGCUGAGCCCUAAAUAUCAAAUGUUAAGUCGUCUUGUCCUUACAUUACAUUUAGUAUGUAUGGUUACUAAUAAAGUAACACGGCAGCUAUGGAAGUUCACUGAGUAUGUUGUUCUCAAACAGUCUAAAUCAUAUCUUCAAGGAAAACAAUUUCACGUCACAAGAUAUGAGGUCAAGCACACAGGUUAUGUAAGGAUAGAUUCUGAGCAAUACCCCUGGGCAGCUGGAUAUUGUUAACCAUUAACCCAACUCACAUAUGACAAACAACUUCAUGGACAUCGGUAUGACCCGAAAAGAACAUUCACUUUCUGUGCAAUAAG
rnacentral:lncRNA from 1 species